rnacentral:lncRNA from 1 species
CAGUGAGCCAAGGCUGGCGCCGAGCUCGGUGGGCGCUGGUCCCGGCUAGGGUGGGGGGAGCAGACAAGUCCGUUUUUCUAGGCUUUACUUCUCAUCUCAUCUUCACAGUUUCUACCUUUGACCAGGAUAAGCGUUCACGCCUUCCCCACACUUCGGCCCAGCUCCCACUUUUCCUGCAGGGGCCUGUCUGCCUGGUCAGGCAGUUUCUCAGCAAGGCUGUGCAGAAGGCCCAGUCACUGAGGCAAUGGCCUUGGGUCAUUCUGUGCGUGGAGAAAAGUCUCACAAGUGCAUGCGGAUACCCGGACCUGUGUGAACCCUGGGUUCCCGCUCCCUGCCUGCCAACCAAACAGCCUCAGCGCCC